rnacentral:rRNA from 1 species
AUUGAACGCUGGCGGCAGGCCUAACACAUGCAAGUCGAGCGGAUGAAGGGAGCUUGCUCCUGGAUUCAGCGGCGGACGGGUGAGUAAUGCCUAGGAAUCUGCCUGGUAGUGGGGGAUAACGUCCGGAAACGGGCGCUAAUACCGCAUACGUCCUGAGGGAGAAAGUGGGGGAUCUUCGGACCUCACGCUAUCAGAUGAGCCUAGGUCGGAUUAGCUAGUUGGUGGGGUAAAGGCCUACCAAGGCGACGAUCCGUAACUGGUCUGAGAGGAUGAUCAGUCACACUGGAACUGAGACACGGUCCAGACUCCUACGGGAGGCAGCAGUGGGGAAUAUUGGACAAUGGGCGAAAGCCUGAUCCAGCCAUGCCGCGUGUGUGAAGAAGGUCUUCGGAUUGUAAAGCACUUUAAGUUGGGAGGAAGGGCAGUAAGUUAAUACCUUGCU